rnacentral:rRNA from 1 species
AAUGAACGUUGGCGGCGUGGAUUAGGCAUGCAAGUCGAGCGAGAAAUUUACUUCGGUAAAUGGACAGCGGCGAAAGGGACAGUAAUGUGUAGGUACCUACCCUCUGAUCUGGGAUAGCUGCGGGAAACUGCAGGUAAUACCGGAUAAUGUCUUCGGACCAAAGGUGUGAUUCCGUCUGAGGAGGGGCCUGCAUCCUAUUAGCUUGUUGGUGAGGUAAUGGCUCACCAAGGCAACGAUGGGUAGCGGGUGUGAGAGCAUGACCCGCGUCAUUGGGACUGAGACACUGCCCAGACAUCUACGGAUGGCUGCAGUCGAGAAUCUUCGGCAAUGGGCGAAAGCCUGACCGAGCGACGCCGCGUGCGGGAUGAAGGCCCUCGGGUUGUAAACCGCUGUCGUUGGGGAGGAAAUGCAUGAGGGCUAUCCCUCUUGUUUGACCGAUCCAAGGAGGAAGUACGGGCUAAGUUCGUGCCAGCAGCCGCGGUAAGACGAACCGUACGAACGUUAUUCGGAAUUACUGGGCUUAAAGGGUGCGUAGGCUGCACGGAAAGUUGGGUGUGAAAGCCCUCAGCUCAACUGAGGAAUUGCAUCCAAAACUGCCGUGCUUGAGGGAGACAGAGGUGAGCGGAACUCAAGGUGGAGCGGUGAAAUGCGUUGAUAUCUUGAGGAACACCGGUGGCGAAGGCGGCUCACUGGGUCUCUUCUGACGCUGAGGCACGAAAGCUAAGGUAGCAAACGGG